rnacentral:misc_RNA from 1 species
GGACGGUGGCAGCACUGUCUAGCUGCGGGCAUUAGACUGGAAAACUAGUGCUCUUUGGGUAACCACUAAAAUCCCGAAAGGGUGGGCUGUGGUGACCCUCCG